GUGGAUGCCUUGGCAGUCAGAGGCGAUGAAAGACGUAGUAACUUGCGAUAAGCCCAGAUUAGGUAGUAACAACCAUUUGAGUCUGGGAUUUCUGAAUGGGGAAACCCACUUGCAUAAGCAGGUAUCAUUAACUGAAUACAUAGGUUAAUGAGGCGAACCGGGGGAACUGAAACAUCUAAGUACCCCGAGGAAAAGAAAUCAACCGAGAUUCCGAAAGUAGCGGCGAGCGAAAUUGGACUAGCCCUUAAGCUUUA
rnacentral:rRNA from 1 species